GAUGAACGCUGGCGGCGUGCUUAACACAUGCAAGUCGAACGGAAAGGCCCAAGCUUGCUUGGGUACUCGAGUGGCGAACGGGUGAGUAACACGUGGGUGAUCUGCCCUGCACUUCGGGAUAGGCCUGGGAAACUGGGUCUAAUACCGGAUAGGACGAUGGUUUGGAUGCCAUUGUGGAAAGUUUUUUCGGUGUGGGAUGAGCUCGCGGCCUAUCAGCUUGUUGGUGGGGUAAUGGCCUACCAAGGCGUCGACGGGUAGCCGGCCUGAGAGGGUGUACGGCCACAUUGGGACUGAGAUACGGCCCAGACUCCUACGGGAGGCAGCAGUGGGGAAUAUUGCACAAUGGGCGCCAGCCUGAUGCAGCGACGCCGCGUGGGGGAUGACGGCCUUCGGGUUGUAAACCCCUUUCGCUAGGGACGAAGCGUUUUUGUGACGGUACCUGGAGAAGAAGCACCGGCUAACUACGUG
rnacentral:rRNA from 1 species